CCUUCUCCACCAGGCGUCCCCACCGGCUCCUGGCUGACUUCCACCACGCGGUGGCACCCCAGCCUCAUGAAUCAGCAGGGCCAGGUGAAAGGCCUCAUGGAAGUCACAGCCUCCAAGGCCACUGGCUGCCACUCCAUAGUGACGGUCCCCAGAGCCCGUGAGGGACCCUCGCUAAGCUCUGGACAUCAUAGAGUGACCCAGUAUUAGUUCUGAGAUCCUCCAGCACCCAGCUGACCUCAUGCCCUGACUGAGAGCAAGCCGCAGUUCUCAAGCCCUUGCCUGGAGCUGACCUCUCUGCCGACAGCACUUUCCCAUGUUAGAGACAGGAGCUGAGGCUGCGAGCUCCUGCGUGUGGACUCUCGAGGCCCAGAAGUGGCAGGGUGUGUCUGCCCCGUGGAGCCCUUGCAGGAGAACGCCGUGCUCUGUUCCGCCUGCCAGGAGGGUGGUGUUCGUCAGCAGGAGUCAGGAGACCCCCGGGCCGCUGUCCUGGGGUGGACGGAAAGCUCUGCCGCCAGGCGGAGCCGUGCCCACAGCCUUGGGCCCUGCAGCCCACCCCAGGAGCCACUCCUGGGGUGGGCACGUGGACCAGGAAGGAGCAGCUUCAAAAUGGUCUCCGUGAGCAGGGAGUGGCAUUCCAGCUUCAGAGAUGCCCAAGAGAAGGGGCGGAAGUUGAGUUAGGGCGCUAGGGGAGGCAGCUUGGCCCCAGCCCCUUCCUCUGGCGCUCGCCUGGAGGCAAGAGAGUUUGGAGGUUAGGCCGCGGCACCUGGCCUCUGAACCCACACCAGCCGGACCCUGGGCCUCCCGAGCCUCGACGCCCAGCCUGUGCGACGGCACGAGCCUAGUGCUCACUUCUCCAGGUUGCACUUGGCAGUGCGUGUGAAACGCCCGGCACGUGGCCGGGCCGGGGAAGUUCAAGAAACAGCGGCCAUCGUCACUGCCAUUAUUACUAUUGUCUGCUGUCACACUGCUCCUAACUGCCGGCCUCAGGAGGGAUGGAAAUUCCCCAAGUAGGUUCCUCCCUCAGCAGUUAAGGAUGGUGAGACAAUGUCACUUGUCUAACCACGUCACCUGAGCGCUGCUUGACUGACAGGUGGGUUAUUUUGGGGAGAAAAAAAAAUCAGCCGAGCUCUUAAGUGCACUGGGCCUGAAAGGUUUCUAUGACAACACACACCUGGAGGUUCUGGUGGGAGGGGAGCCCCGUGGGGACGAGUUCAGAACUGAAAUCAAGCAAUGGGGGGAGGGGGUGUCCUCCCCCUCUGUGUUUCUGGCUAUGCUUAUAGACUGACUGCUGCAGCUGGCCGGCGUCACGCGGCGUCUCCAACCCCCACGGCC
rnacentral:lncRNA from 1 species